rnacentral:rRNA from 1 species
UUUGAUGGCGACCGGCGCACGGGUGAGUAACACGUAUCCAACCUGCCGAUGACUCGGGGAUAGCCUUUCGAAAGAAAGAUUAAUACCCGAUGGCAUAGUUCUUCCGCAUGGUAGAACUAUUAAAGAAUUUCGGUCAUCGAUGGGGAUGCGUUCCAUUAGGUUGUUGGCGGGGUAACGGCCCACCAAGUCUUCGAUGGAUAGGGGUUCUGAGAGGAAGGUCCCCCACAUUGGAACUGAGACACGGUCCAA